UACGUAGGGUGCAAGCGUUGUCCGGAAUUAUUGGGCGUAAAGAGCUCGUAGGCGGUCUGUUGCGUCGGCUGUGAAAACCCGGGGCUCAACUCCGGGCCUGCAGCCGAUACGGGCAGACUAGAGUUCGGCAGGGGAGACUGGAAUUCCUGGUGUAGCGGUGAAAUGCGCAGAUAUCAGGAAGAACACCCGUGGCGAAAGCGGCUCUUUGGAACGGUACUGACGCUGAGACGCGAAAGCGUGGGGAGCGAACAGG
rnacentral:rRNA from 1 species